CCUACGGGUGGCAGCAGUGAGGAAUAUUGGUCAAUGGACGAGAGUCUGAACCAGCCAAGUAGCGUGAAGGAUGACUGCCCUAUGGGUUGUAAACUUCUUUUAUAUGGGAAUAAAAUGUUCCACGUGUGGGAUUUUGUAUGUACCAUAUGAAUAAGGCUCGGCUAACUCCGUGCCAGCAGCCGCGGUAAUACGGAGGAUCCGAGCGUUAUCCGGAUUUAUUGGGUUUAAAGGGAGCGUAGGUGGAUUGUUAAGUCAGUUGUGAAAGUUUGCGGCUCAACCGUAAAAUUGCAGUUGAAACUGGCAGUCUUGAGUACAGUAGAUGUGGGCGGAAUUCGUGGUGUAGCGGUGAAAUGCUUAGAUAUCACGAAGAACUCCGAUUGCGAAGGCAGUUCACUGGACUGCAACUGACACUGAGGCUCGAAAGUGUGGGUAUCAAACAGGAUUAGAUACCCCAGUAGUC
rnacentral:rRNA from 1 species